UGGGGAAUAUUGGACAAUGGGCGCAAGCCUGAUCCAGCCAUACCGCGUGGGUGAAGAAGGCCUUCGGGUUGUAAAGCCCUUUUGUUGGGAAAGAAAUCCAGCCGGCUAAUACCUGGUUGGGAUGACGGUACCCAAAGAAUAAGCACCGGCUAACUUCGUGCCAGCAGCCGCGGUAAUACGAAGGGUGCAAGCGUUACUCGGAAUUACUGGGCGUAAAGCGUGCGUAGGUGGUCGUUUAAGUCCGUUGUGAAAGCCCUGGGCUCAACCUGGGAACUGCAGUGGAUACUGGGCGACUAGAGUGUGGUAGAGGGUAGCGGAAUUCCUGGUGUAGCAGUGAAAUGCGUAGAGAUCAGGAGGAACAUCCAUGGCGAAGGCAGCUACCUGGACCAACACUGACACUGAGGCACGAAAGCGUGGGGAGCAAACAGGAUU
rnacentral:rRNA from 1 species